UUCAACCUUCGGGGCAGGGUGACACGGCGCACACGCGCCCGUGAAUUCCCGAUUGGUGGUAAAGCCCACGAGCGCGCAAGCGCAUGAGCUGGUGAAAUUCCAGCGCCAACGGUUACAGUCCGGAUAAAAGAAGGUUAGC
rnacentral:ncRNA from 2 species